GACGAACGCUGGCGGCGUGCUUAACACAUGCAAGUCGAACGAAAAGGCCCUGCUUUUGUGGGGUGCUCUAGUUGCGAACGGGUGAGUAACACGUGAGUAACCUGUCCUUCACUUUGGGAUAUCUUCAUGCAACUUGGUGUAAUACCAGAUAGGAUCUCCUGCUUCAUGGUGGGGGUUGGAUAGUUUCGGCGGUUGGGGAUGGACUCGCGGCUUAUCAGCUUGUUGGUGGGGUAGUGGCUUACCAAGGCUUUGACGGGUAGCCGGCCUGAGAGGGUGACCGGACACAUCGGGACUGAGAUACGGCACAGCCUCCUACGGGACGCAGCAGAGGGGUAUAGUGUACAAUGGGAGGAAGGAUGAUGCAGCAAAGCAGCGUGGGGGAUGACAGCAUUCGGGUUGUAAACCGCUUUCGCUUGUGACGAAGCGUGAGUGACGGUAAUGGGUAAAGAAGCACCGGCUAACUACGUG
rnacentral:rRNA from 1 species